rnacentral:rRNA from 1 species
GGUGAACGCUGGCGGCGUGCCUAAUACAUGCAAGUCGAGCGAACAGACGAGGAGCUUGCUCCUCUGACGUUAGCGGCGGACGGGUGAGUAACACGUGGAUAACCUACCUAUAAGACUGGGAUAACUUCGGGAAACCGGAGCUAAUACCGGAUAACAUGUUGAACCGCAUGGUUCAACAGUGAAAGACGGUUUUGCUGUCACUUAUAGAUGGAUCCGCGCCGCAUUAGCUAGUUGGUAAGGUAACGGCUUACCAAGGCAACGAUGCGUAGCCGACCUGAGAGGGUGAUCGGCCACACUGGAACUGAGACACGGUCCAGACUCCUACGGGAGGCAGCAGUAGGGAAUCUUCCGCAAUGGGCGAAAGCCUGACGGAGCAACGCCGCGUGAGUGAAGAAGGUCUUCGGAUCGUAAAACUCUGUUAUUAGGGAAGAACAAAUGUGUAAGUAACUAUGCACGUCUUGACGGUACCUAAUCAGAAAGCCACGGCUAACUACGUG